rnacentral:rRNA from 1 species
AGAGUUUGAUCCUGGUCAGGGAUGAACGCUGGCGGCGUGCUUAACACAUGCAAGUCGAACGAGGUCCAACCUUCGGGGUGAAGACCGAGUGGCGAACGGGUGAGUAACACGUGGGGAACCUGCCCUUCUCUCUGGGAUAACGUCGAGAAAUCGGUGCUAAUACCGGAUACUCCUUGCGGAUCGCAUGGUCUGCUCGGGAAAGCUCCGGCGGAGAGGGAUGGCCCCGCGGCCCAUUAGCUAGUUGGUGAGGUAAUGGCCCACCAAGGCGACGAUGGGUAGCCGAGCUGAGAGGCUGAUCGGCCACACUGGGACUGAGACACGGCCCAGACUCCUACGGGAGGCAGCAGUGGGGAAUUUUGCACAAUGGGCGAAAGCCUGAUGCAGCAACGCCGCGUGCGGGAUGAAGGCCCUCGGGUUGUAAACCGCUUUCAGCAGGGACGAAUAUGACGGUACCUGCAGAAGAAGCCCCGGCUAACUACGUGCCAGCAGCCGCGGUAAUACGUAGGGGGCAAGCGUUAUCCGGAUUCAUUGGGCGUAAAGCGCGCGUAGGCGGCUUGUUAAGUCAGAUGUGAAAACCGGGGGCUCAACCCGCGGCCUGCAUCUGAAACUGGCAGGCUUGAGUCUAGUAGAGGAAA